GAGAGGGGUAGGGGUGGUGGCAGCGGCCCCAGAGACAUGCGUCACGUGGUUUUCCCUCCCUUGGAGUUGCUGCCAGAACGGGCUCUACGGCGGCUUAAGCCUAGAGUGAGAGGAAUUUUGCUGCUCGGGCGUCGGCGGCCGGAGCUGCCGGUGCAGGUCGGCCAAUCGCCAUGUCCUUGCGGAAGCCAGGAGAUGGCGACGGCGGAAGCGCGAGGCUGGGGGGCUCCCCCGGGGCCGAGGAUCUCCAAGAAUGUGCGCCGGCUCGGUGCUUACCACUGCUGCCUUGGGACCGCUUCUCGGCCUGGUUGCACUGCGUGUGUGUGGUGGGCUUCGACUUGGAGCUCGGGCAGGCUGUGGAGGUAAUAUACCCUCAACAUGCAAAACUUACAGAUAAAGAGAAAACCAAUAUUUGCUAUUUGUCAUUCCCAGAUUCCAAUUCAGGGUGCCUUGGAGACACGCAGUUUUGUUUUAGAUUUCGACAGUCUUCUAGCAGAAACCUUUCAUGGCAUUGUUUGCUGGACCAGUUUGACAGAGACCUCCCCAUUUACUUGAAGAAGGAUCCUGCAUAUUAUUAUGGUUAUGUAUACUUCAGACAAGUACAAGACAAAACGUUAAAAAGAGGCUACUUCCAGAAGUCCUUGGUUAUGAUCAGCAAGUUGCCUUAUAUCCACUUUUUUCACACUGUGCUUGGACAAAUUGCACCAGAAUAUUUUGAAAAGAAUGAACCUUUCUUGGAAGCAGCUUGUAGUGAUAUUGAUCGAUGGCCACCCCCAGUUCCAGGGAAAACCCUACAUUUGCCUAUCAUGGGCAUUGUAAUAAAGGUGCGGAUUCCUACAUGUCGUGACAAGCCUGGAAAAACCCAAGUAUUACAGUCCACAAACCAGACAGACACACAAGUCUCCAUUGCUUUGUCUACUGUCCACGAAAUUGAUCUCUUCAGAUGUUUCUCGCCAGUGUUCUUUCAUAUCCAGAUGCUAUGGGAGCUAGUGUUGUUAGGGGAACCGCUUGUUGUCAUGGCACCAUCACCAUCAGAGUCUUCAGAAACUGUGUUGGCACUUGUAAGCUGUAUUUCACCUCUGAAGUACUAUAGUGAUUUUAGGCCUUAUUUUACAAUACACGACAGUGAAUUCAAAGAAUAUACCACUCGUACACAGACCCCGCCUUCUGUCAUCUUAGGAGUGACAAAUCCAUUUUUUGCUAAAACUCUGCAGCACUGGCCACACAUCAUCCGAAUAGGAGACAUUAAACUGUCAGAUCCCUUUGAUGUAGCCAGAGGCAGAUGUACGGACGAAACCUCGUAUGCGGAGGAGUCAACUUUCACUGACCAUGUUGAAGGAGACGACUGGAGCGACUAUUCAGAUCAUGAGGAGGAUACAUCGUAUCGCUUGUUUAAUACCUCAGAUUAUCAGCCGCUAGCACGCAGGGUAGUUAAUACCCUUGGUCUCCAGACUGCGCCUUCAACUUCGCCCGCCCCAGCUAUCAAAGGGGCCAAGGUCCUCAAAUCCCCUGCACCUACUGCGCACUACAUCCCGGUGCCGGACCUAAUUACCAAAUUAGCCUCUGAAGAAUGGGCCCAUCCACUCAAAGCUCGACGCUUCAAGAAUCUGGCUGACAGACUUUACGCCCUAGCCCCGGACUUUGCCACCAAGUUAGAUGUCCCUGGCAUAGAUGAACCAAUCGCUCGCCUCGUUUCACGAUCGCUUUUGCCCAGGGAAGGGGAAUCCCACCUAAAAGACACUACUGAGCGACAAAUAGACUUUGCCCUCCGCAAGAAUCACGAGGCCACUACCCUAGCCAUGCGUGCCUCCGCUUCAGCCUCCAUCUUCUCCAGAGCAUCUAUGAUGUGGCUGGAUGACCUUCUAGAGGAUUCUAACCCUGAUCCUGUCACCCUCAGAAGAGCACUAUUGAAAUUGCGUAAGACAGCAGCUUUUGUGGCCGAUGCCACUUUGGAUGCCACCCAAUUAGGGGCACGAGCCAUGACGGCUCAAAUAGUUGCUCGUCGCACCCUCUGGCUUCGCCACUGGCAAGCUGAUUCAGCGGCCAGAUUGAAUCUGUCCAGGGCUCCUUACUCCGGAUCUCUACUCUUCGGCGAGGAAGCUCUAAAGGCAGUGCUGGUUGAUCCAAAAGACGCCCACAAACCGGUUCUGGCCACAGUCAAGAACAGCGACCACAGGCCUUUCAGGCGAUUUCCUUCAUUCCGUUCUAACCAGCCCUUUCGAGGAACGCGGCCAGGAGGACGAGGCCGCGACUUCAGACCCUAUGACCCCAACGCAUUCAGGGGCUCCUGGAACCGACGCUUCCAGGGCAGAGGCCUACGGCUGGCUUGUCAACUUCGACAAAAGCCAUCUCCAACCAACCCAACGCCUACUACAUCUAGGGGCAAUGUUGGACACCCUGCAGGCAAUGGUCUUCUUGGCUCCAGAUCGCAUCACUGCCAUCACAAGCAUCGCAAGGUCCCUGAUGCAACAAACAUCCGCAGACGUCAUGCUUCUUGCCAGAGCGCUCGGGAUGUUUAUAUCUACAAUCCACAUUGUGCCAUGGGCUCGAGCCCACACUCGGCCCCUUCAAUGGAUUCUGUUGCCUUUUCAAAAAGACAUCGCCAGCUCCAACCAUCGCAAAGUUCGCUUGAGCCCUGCACUGCGCCUCUCCUUCCGCUGGUGGACCAAGGUUCAACACCUCUCCAAGGGCACGUCGUUCAGAGAACCCCGCAGAACCGUUGUAACCACAGAUGCCAGCCUCAUAGGUUGGGGAGCCCACUGCAACUCCCAGUACGUUCAGGGGGUUUGGUCCAACACAGAGCAAUCCCAAAGCAUCAACUGGCUGGAACUAAAGGCUGUCCACUUAGCCCUAUGUCAUUUUCAGUCUCUGUUCCCUUUGCAUCAUGUGCUCAUUCGAACAGACAACACGUGUGUAAAAUCACAUUUGAACAGACAGGGGGGCACCAGGUCUCGUCCUCUGCAGGACUUAGCCUCCCUCAUCUUUGUCUGGGCAGAACAACAUCUACAAUCCCUGAAAGCAGAGCACCUCAGAGGGAUUUGGAAUGUGACAGCAGACUGGCUCAGCAGACAACAGGUCUUUCCGGGAGAAUGGAAACUUCAUCCAGCCAUUUUCCAUCGUCUCCAGUGUCGGUUCGGCGCCCUCUCUGUCGACCUGUUUGCCUCCAGUCGCAAUUGCCAGCUUCCCAGGUACUUUGCCCGAUACCUGGACUCAACAGCAGAAGCAGUGGAUGCUCUGACAACACCGUGGCCAGACAGUCUAUUGUACGCCUUUCCUCCCAUACUAUUGUUAGCCAAAACCUUGAGGAAGGCGCGAACCGAAAGGGCACAGCUGGUUCUGAUAGCACCAUUUUGGCCACGCCGACCGUGGUUUUCAGAUCUUCUGGCAAUGUCAAUGAUGGAUCCUUGGACACUUCCAGUAAGGCCAGACCUUCUAUCCCAGGGUCCAGUACUGCACCAGGACCCUACUUGGUUCAAUCUAACAGCGUGGCGUUUGAACGGAGACAUUUGAGGUCAGCUGGACUGUCUGACGCUGUGAUUGAUAUUAUUUUGGCCUCGAGAAGACCAUCUACCACCCGUAUUUAUCAACAUACCUGGGUGGCUUUCUCCAAGUGGUGUCAGUCCCACCACCACGAUCCAUCCCAGGCCACUGUGCAUCAGGUGCUCCAAUUUCUCCAUAGCGGCUUUAUGAUGGGACUUCGACCCAACACCCUACGUCGACAUGCGUCCACUCUGUCGUCCAUUCUCUCAGUGUCCUCUCCUGGAGAUCAUAUUUCCUCACAUCCAUUCAUCAAACAUUUUUUGAGGGGAGUCGCCCUACGCUCUCCGGCUGUUGUCCAUCGGUUUCCCUCAUGGAGUUUGCCGAAGGUUCUGCAGGCUUUGCAACGUCCUCCGUUUGAACCCAUCAGGACUGUGCCUCUUCGUAUACUGUCCUUCAAGGUCUUGUUCCUGAUCGCAAUCACAUCUGCUAGACGAGUUUCGGAGUUGGGCGCAUUGUCUUCCGCUCGCCAUCUCUGCGUCUUCCAUAAGGACUCUGUUGUACUGAACUGAUCCUUCCUUCCGUCCCAAGGUUGAUUCAGUUUUCCAUUGCAACCAGGACAUUGUUUUGCCUUCCUUUUGCCUGAAUCCUACCCAUCCUCUCGAGAAGGCUUGGCAUUCGUUGGAUGUCCGGAGGGCUCUCAAGACCUACCUGUCUAGGACCCAGGAUAUACGGCGAACUGAGUCUCUGUUUGUAUCCUUUCAUCCAAGGUCUAUGGGGCAUAAAGUUUCCAAUCCUACCUUAUCCCGUUGGUUAAGGGCAUGUAUUACUUUAGCAUAUGAGUCUCUGAAGCUGUCAGUUCUAGCUAGUAUAACGGCUCAUUCUACCAGGUCAGCUGCCACUUCGGCUGCUUUUGCCACUAAUGCUCCUGUUGCCGAUAUUUGUAGGGCUGCAGUCUGCUCUACCCCACACUCGUUUAUAAGGCAUUAUAAAAUAGAUCGCUAUGCCUCUGCUGACGCUUCUUUUGGCAGACGAGUGUUGCAACAGGUUCUUAAUGACGAUUAACACGUGGGUGGUCCCUCCCUGUUUGGGCUGCUGGGGUACAUCCCGUUGUGAUGGCCGGACUCAUAGGGAAAAUGGACCAUUGGUCUCACCUGAAGGGUGAUUUUCCUAUGAGGACGGACAUCACGACCCUCCCAGUUGGAGGAUGACUAUAUAUUUUUUAAUGUGUUCUAUAUUACUGUUACGCUAUUAUAUUUAAAUUUAAAAGUAAAGUCAAGACUUCUAGUUCUGUUAUACCGCUAUGUUGGAGUCAUGUUACUAUGCAUGGUACUAUUGUGUUAUUUUCCUGCUGCCAGGCCUGUUGGCCUUGUUCUUGUAUUUUUAGAUAUCUCUCCUUAGACUCGCUGCGAAUGAACUGGAGAGUGGGAGGGGCCUGACGCCCCUAGUCUUGACUUCAAAGACAUUCUUGCCUUCGCACGAUAGGUGGAGCUAAAACCCGUUGUGAUGUCCGUCCUCAUAGGAAAAUCACACUUCAGGUGAAGUACCAAAACAGGUAAAAGUGAAAAAGUUGAAGAACUUAAAGACUUUGGAUUCUAAACCUGGUGUUUACACAUCUUAUAAGCCA